AUGGUCCACCGCAUCAUGGGCUUGAUCCGUCAAUGGUCUACCCUGUUUUGCUCCAUCACAUAAGAAACUCCCUUCCAAAUUAAAACCAAGAACUGGAUCAACUGUCUUCCCAAAGCUCUUCAUGUGCUCCAUUCUCUGUGGUUCCCUUGCAACUCUCCUGUUGCCCUCCUGAAUUCCACCUGUAACCCCUUCCCCAUCUUCU
rnacentral:lncRNA from 1 species